UAGUUUAUGAGCUUGAAUUAAGCUUUUACUUUGAAAGUAAAGAAAAGAAGUAAAAUCUUCUAUUAACU
rnacentral:tRNA from 1 species